rnacentral:misc_RNA from 1 species
AAAGUCGUAACAAGGUUUCCGUAGGUGAACCUGCGGAAGGAUCAUUACAAAUCCACGAGUCACCCUCACCGGUCGACAACGUUGCACCCUCCCCCUCGGCGAGCCGAGCCGUGCGCAAGCGCGCGCCCGGCCCGCCUUGAGGACCCUAUUUGACCCCCCGUGCUGACACUUCAUACCACGAAUGUACCAACACAAUUAUUGACAACCUAGAAACAACUUAUAACAAUGGAUCUCUAGGCUCUU